UACGUAGGGUGCAAGCGUUGUCCGGAAUUAUUGGGCGUAAAGAGCUCGUAGGCGGUCUGUCGCGUCUGCUGUGAAAAUCCAGGGCUCAACCCUGGACCUGCAGUGGGUACGGGCAGACUAGAGUGCGGUAGGGGAGUCUGGAAUUCCUGGUGUAGCGGUGGAAUGCGCAGAUAUCAGGAGGAACACCGGUGGCGAAGGCGGUUCUCUGGGCAUGUCCUGACGCUGAGGAGCGAAAGUGUGGGGAGCGAACAGG
rnacentral:rRNA from 1 species